ACACCUUUUGAACUGGGCACGGUGCCGAGACGGCGUGGAUCAUACUCUGUUGCUUGUCUAAGGGCCCUGGCAAAGGCUUUGAACGUGGCUUCAAUAAUAUGAUGAGAAUUCUUUCCAGCAAGCUGUCGAAUGUGAAGAGUCAUACCAGAAGUAUUCACCAGAGACUGGAAGAAAUGCUCCACCAACUGGGUGUCAUAUGUUCCAACUCUCUGA
rnacentral:misc_RNA from 1 species